CAUGUAGGCGGAUUAAUAAGUUUGAAGUGAAAUCCUAUAGCUUAACUAUAGAACUGCUUUGAAAACUGUUAAUCUAGAAUGUGGGAGAGGUAGAUGGAAUUUCUGGUGUAGGGGUAAAAUACCGUAGAGAUCAGAAGGAAUACCGAUUGCGAAGGCGAUCUACUGGAACAUUAUUGACGCUGAGAUGCGAAAGCGUAGGGGAUCAAAC
rnacentral:rRNA from 1 species